rnacentral:lncRNA from 1 species
CAGGCAGAUAGAAGUUCAUGUCACUUUCUCCUUUUUUAUGGAGUAGGAUGUGAUACUCCUUCUAGUGGAAAUACCAAUCAAAUGUCCAUGGGUCAUGAAGUGUCACUAUGUACUCCUGAGCCUCUCUCCAGAAGGGAAAAGGGAACUCCUCUAUGAUAGUGCAGCAGGAUGCAGCGGAACCCCCCUGACUUGCUGACAAGCGCAGACCAGUCUAGAAGUGGCCCUGUACAUGUUUCUGCGGAACCCUGACACUGAAGCUGUUCUGGUUGCCAUGUCCUGUUUCCGCCACCUCUGUGAGGAAGCAGAUACCCGGUGUGGGGUGGACGAAGUGUCGGUGCGUAACCUCUUGCCCAACUCUUAACACAUUCAUGGAGUUUGCCUGUCAGCAAUGUGAUGUCAACAGUGGGAAGAUACACAUGCAAAAUGGGAACAAGCAACAAAACUAAUCCUUAGCUAUCCAAAAGCCCAAAUGGAAGAUGGCCAAAGCUUCACAAGACCAUUGUUAAGAGGCGAAUGUCCCAUGUGAGUGGAGGAGGACCCAUAGAUUUGUCUGACACAGACUCCCUACAGGCAUGGCUUCCUUUGUGCCCUUGGGGGAGUGUGCCUCCAGCAGAGAAGGAAUUCUGGCCUGGCAACCUAUAGCCCACCCAUGGGUCCGGUCAGUGAACAUAAGGGUUCCAUGAUUUCAGUGAUGUCCUCAGAGGGAAACGCAGAUACACCUGUCAGCAAAUAUAUGGAUCAGCUGUUGUCGUUAAUGGUGUGUAA